CGUCCAUGCAGUUGACAAAAGCCUCCGUACGCUCUCGCCCAUGUUCUUAUAAGGAACAGUCCCGGAGGUGUUCUUGAGCAGCACCCAGAAGACAGUGACUUGUAUUCUGUGUCCUCCUAGGUGUCGCGAAGCUGAAAAAGCGGCGGCCCCUUCUUGAAACGAGGCAGCAGGCUGGUGCUGAGGUGAGCUUGCCUGUCUUUCCCUGAGGAGCACAAUUGCUUUCUUAGAGGCUUUCCAAUCAAUCUCUGUUGUACAUAUGACAGUCUACAUUUUCGAGGAUACUGUUACUUUCCCGGAUGGGGACAGUGGUGAGUGGUUGCCCCUUGCCAACGGUCACUUUGGUCAGGGGGACAUUGACCACUGGCAGUGCCAAACCUGGUAACAAGAGGGCAGGAGAGGGCUCUGUGCAGGGCGCAGCUGGGCGUCUCCAUGGCUCUGGGUCGCCCGUCAGCAGCUGGGCCUGCGUCCCUCUGGACACCAGGUCUUUCCUUGGGUUUCUGGCUCUGCUGGUCUCUGCAGGAAUGUUCAAGAAUGCUGUCCCUUCCCCUUUCCCCACCACCCCCUGCCCUCCCUCACACCCCUGCCCACAGCCCUUCCCCUCUGCCUGCUGCCAAAAGAAUCCAGAACAAAGCAGCAUUCUCUCCUGGCCUUGUCUGCCUGGGAGAGUGGUGAGAAGAGACAGUUCUCUCAGGUUCAUGAAAUAAACAUUUGGUAGCAGAGGUCGUGAGGGUCUGGGGAUCCUUCGGGAAAUCCUGGAGUGGGGUCACAGGCUGUGGGUAAGGAGUGGACCGUCUAAGAGGAGAUGGGACUCUGUCCCCUGUCCCUGCAGGGUCUAGGGACAGAUGAGGAAUCCUACAGCCUGGAUUUUGGGGAGAAGGGAAGGAGCAGGGAAGGUGCCCCCUCGGCCAGUACAACCCCUCCCUGCUGUCAGGCGGGCCUUAGCCCAGACUGCUUGGACGGUUACACAGACCAACAGUCAGUGAAACACUGAGAGUCCCAGACUUCAUUCGAUAAACCACCAAAGCACCAUCCCAACAGGCCACGUUUCCUGUUGAUUCACAUUAGCUGCUCAGCCAGGGUUGGCCAGUUGAAGGGAACCUAAUUCUUGGUAGAGCCGUCGUGUGACGGUUGGUUUGGGACGUCCUGGCUUCUGAGUCAGCUUGGGAGCCGAGCAGACGCCUGGCCACUGACGGUGCUCAGCUGGCCAUUGGGGAAGGCUCCACACGAGGUGGCUUAUGGUGUGAAGGUGUAGGGGCAGGAUGUGCACGGCUGGGCUCCUUCCCCUGCUCCUUCAGUGGGGCUUGGUUUGGGGAAAACAGUGUCAUGUUUUGGGUCAGGGAUUGAUAGACCCAGAGAAGAGGCUGAGCUGCGACUCAGGCCGCUGUUCUGGCUCAGACGCCUCCUCCAGGAGGAACGUUGGGGCAGGAGGAGUUGAGGAUUGAAGGGAGGGAAGCCCUUGGUUCAGGAGUCAAGGGCAUGAUCCAAUGGACUUGCUUGGGUGUUCAGGGAUCUCUGUCCCCGGGAACCCGUUGCAUUCCUGUCCCAGAUCCAUCACUCAUCGGUGUUGUGAAUCUCUGGAGGUCUCUAAGGUUCCAUGCCGGCAACUAUAAGAUAGGGGUCCCCGGGCCCUGCUCUGAAGCAGGCUCCAGGCUCUGAGCUGUCAGCCCAGAGCCUGACGCGGGGCUCAAACCUAGGCAUUGUGAGAUCACGACCUGAGCUGAAGUCAGGACACUUGACCGACUGAGCCACCCAGGCACCCAUAUCUGCUGGGUUUUUUAAGUGCACACUGCAAGAUCCUGGAGCGCACGAUCAGCUGGUGCACAGGAGAUGGAAAGUUUGAACUGUGACUAAGUCAUUACUACUUUCGCUGUGAUCUUCUGCCGGCCAGGUGCCCACUAGCUCUUAUUGUGUGAAUGCAUUUCCCAGAGUGGUAUGAGAUGGAUAUGGAAAGACAAUGUGUUCCUCAUCUAAGAAGACACACACCUCACCCCCAGCAGCGGGUAACAAAAACAGCAUCCUGCCGCACCCCAGGGUGCACCCCGCAAACAAACCAAUGGAAGGUGCUGUGGAAAUUCAAUCAUUAAGCAAAUUCAAUACUGAUGGAAGUUUAUUCAGUGUACCCGUAUAAUGGAAAAGGGUUUGAUGGAUUUCACGCAGGAUGAUCUGACAGUGUAUAUUAUGGAUGGCAUAUGCAGUUUCCACGGUGGGGAGAGUGUCAGUUGGGAGUUUCUUACCAACAGAUACCUGAGUCAAGAGGGCACUCAAAAAUGACAGCAUCCAUUCCAAACUGGACAGCAGUGAACAUCCUGGCAUUUGUCUUCCUUGGAAAAGAAUUUUAUAAUUGCCAAUCAAAAUGGACCUGAGACCUACUGUCCAGGAAAAGUUGGUGCCUUUUGGCAUAAGUACACUUGCUCUACUCUUGCUUUUGGGUUCCCUUGAGUCGACUGCCUUUUCCCAUCUGGUUUUCUAGACUCACCAAGAGAACAAAAGCCCCAUGCAAGCAGAAUACAGUAUGACCUGACUCUCACUGUGUUUUCAUUUCUGCGAUUGCAGGGGGACUCAAGGCCCCGUGAAAAUGGUGGUCUCGGGAGUCAGUGAAAAUAGUAAGUUCCAUGGAGUCCCACACUUGCUGGGGAAAGAUCUAGGUGGUGAGAGACCCGGGGCUUUCCUGCUGGCUUUCAUUGGGAGCACCACCCCGAUUCUGGGUGCCUGCUGGGAACGGGGGCUGGGGAUGUGGGGAACGAGGCUGACACUACAGGGAAAGAACCGUGGCCAUUUCUUCACAAGCACUUUUGCUCCCUUUGGGUGGUGAGGGUUUGUGUGUAUGGUGGUGGGCUCUUCCCUGUGUGAAUCUAGGUGGUGUGGCUCUGAGUGUGGUGUGAGUGUGUGUGUGUCUCCCUAGACUGGUGUCCCCUCCAAAAACGCAGCUGACAAUGUCAGCUUCUAAGUGAAAACUCCCAUCACCAUUGUUUCAUGCAAUUGUAUGUACUUCAAAUUUGAUCAAAUUCUGCACUUUGAGUGUAUACAGUUCGUUGUAUGCUAAUAAACUUGGGGGGAAAUCCUACUGCCAGCUAGGAAGGGUUCCCAGCAUUCUAAGUGGACAAAACUGUUUCAGAAUCACCAUUAUUGGGUCAAUAACCACUUCAUUUAAUGAUAGAUCUCACCUCUGAGCAGGCUGUUUCCUUAACCCCAUGGCAGAUGGAUCAAUCCUAAUUUAAGAGAAGGAGCCCUAAUGGUAUCUAAUUGGCCUCUGGGACAAGGGAGGCCAGAGAGGGUGAUGGAUUACGGGGAAUAGCACAGCCUGUGGAUGGGGAGCCAGGCACUGCGACGAGGCCCUCGGCCCUAAGCCCCAUGGACUUUCUCUCACGCAUCCCCUGCCUGGGGACCACUUAUGAGCAGGGAUGAGGCAGGAGGAGCCGGGGUGCCGGGUGAGAGCACCACAUGGACAUCGUCCUAAAAGCCCGGGGAGAGGGCCUUCCUUCCUGUCCCAGCCUCUUCUCCAUCUACCAGACUCUUUCCUUCAUUGACACUGGGGAGGGGCAGACAGUGGAGUCAGGUCUCCUGUUCUCCCACCCAGGACAUAUCACAGGGAUGGAACCAGAGCCAGGCCAGACACAAGGAGGUUCCCAGGCCUGAUCCACUGGGGGCCGGGGGGGGGGACCAGCUUGUACUCUUCCCCUGCUUCUGGGGGUCACCUGACAACCAGUCCUUGUCUACACACUGUUGGCCAAGAGUUAUUUGGCUGGAAACACAUUCAUACAAAAGGGAUCUCACCCCACGUGACCAGGGCAGCUGUAGAACAUUCUAGUUGCAGAGGAGGUGAGAGGGGCCCAGGCUCCAGUGCACAGGGAGUUGAGCAAAGUGGUGGGGGCUGAUCCCAGGGUUAAGGUAGUCCUCGCUGUACCUUUCCCUGGCUCUGAGGACAUCAGUUGGAGAAUUUGUCUGACAGGUAUUGGAAUUCUCGGUUCUAAACCCUAUCCGUUCUAACCCUUCCUUCCACUCGUGGGCACAGGAGCCCUAGCCCUGGGUGGUCACUACAAGGGCACUGACAGCAUCUCCCUCACUCUUGUCUCACACAGUGCUCAGCACUGGGAAGCGCCUCUUGUAAAACCUCUGGGCUGGGAUCUAGUUCAGGGGUGGAAAGGUCCCUCCUCAGUUUGUCCCAGCCUGUCGGGCCCCACACUAAGUUGGGUAUCUGCCCCGGCUCUGGUCCAGAUCCGAGAGAGGGGGGUGGCUUCCUGAGGACAGUGAGGUGCCCCCCCCACCCUGCUGCGCUGAUUACAUCCAGCACAGGUGUGGGGGGUGAUGCUCUUCACUCUGCUUACAAGUGGGCCCCGGCUGGGAUUCCUCGAGGGCUUGGGGGGUGGCCGUCCUCUCUGAGUGUUCCCAGGGACUCAUGGAGUGCCUGGCACAUGUGUAUGAGCCCUAAGAACCUAUUAAUGGAAGAUCGUGUCAGGCCAGCAAAUCCUCUGCAGGCACCCCCAGGGCAGGCACGUCACGUCUUCUGCAUCUUUGGAUCCGACAGCUGCACUCUCCAGGGGGGAAGCCACUAGCCAGACGUGCGGGCUCAUGUUUAAAUUAAUUAAAGCAAAUGAAGUUAAACAUUCCAUCCCUCAUCACACUAGCCACAGUUCAGGUACCCAGCAGGUGCAUGUUUACAACACAGAGCAUUUCCAUCCCGACAGACGGCUCUCCUGGGCAGCUGCUCGGAGCCUGGCCCAGGGUGUGCUCAUGGAACCCACCUAACCCAACAUGUGUCCGUCACAGUGGGAAGGUCAGGUUGGUUCGUGCCCAGGUGAGAGCUAUCACGAUCCAGUGCAGCUGGGGAAGUGCCAGGUGAAGGCGGAUCCUUUCUCUCAUUUGCAGGUUUGCAAGGGUGGUCAAUGUCUCCUUGAAGGACGCUGACUCCACCGAGCCCAGGGAAGGUCUGAGGACCCAGAGGAAGGACAGCUGAUGCCGGGUGGGCCAGCAUGGCCUCAGCUGGGGCAGCAGGAACAGGGGAGACCCUCUCUCUAGUACGCUGCUUGCUCAUGCUUGUGUCUGUAAAGGUUGGAUUGUCCACUGAAGAUAUGAUUCGAGCAGCAAGGUUGAAGAACCCCUAGGUAGGGAACAGCCCUCAAGUGUAUCAGGAAAUGGUUUCUGGGAGCUGUCAGGUUAUACCUGCAGCUUUGGAGACUGAGGGAGGUGGGUAUGAAAUCAGAGAGAAAAGGAAAUGUGCGUCCUUCUCAUAUUUUAACGCUGUAGGAAUAAGAGCUGUUAUGUCUGUUGGCUUAGGGUGUACUGUUCGCAAUCUUUUCUUGCUUUGUUAUUUAAAGUCUCUCUUUCCGCUAAGACCUGCUCUCUUCUGCUCUGCCUCUGCCAAGCAUCAAAGCCUUGGUUACGGUAGGUUCCCACGUCUUGGGACUUGAGCAGGGGCAGUUUACUGGGUCGGAUUUGGUGUGAUCUGUGACAGAGGUGGUCUGAUGAGGCAUAUUCUGGCAUGCACACUUGAAACGGAGACAAAGUGCUUCCAUGUGAGCUGGGUGCUGGGGACCCGGGGACCCUCUCCCUCUGCACCUUCAGGUCACGGAGCGGCACCUGUAUGGGCUACCUUCAGCUUUGCCCCUGGGUGAAAGGGUGCUCCCUGGGUGGGCAUCGCAGAGAACGUUUCCUCUCCAGCUCCUGCAAGUGCUCCUGGGACCGUCUGAAGAAGUGAGGUGGGAGGUGCUCCCUGGAGCAAGUUCUCUCCUCCUCUCCUCACCCAAAUCCAGGGUCCCUGGAGCCGAAUAAAUCCUGUACUUGCCUCCACGUGGAAGGGACCUCUGUGCAGCUCCCCCCCCCCCCCACACACACACACACGCUGAUACCCUCCCUGGUUGGCAGGAUUUCUAGAGGCCUGUGUGAAUGCCACUGGGCCCUCACACACACUGGGUCUCCAGGCCCCGCUGAGCUGUCUCCUGGGAGUGAACAGCCCCAGGAAAGAGGCUCUUGGCAGUGGGGCUGGGGUUCCUGCCCCUGUCAGAUCCCACUCCUCCAGCCACACAGCAAUGGGCCUGCUCCCCACACCACGGUUAUAGCCCUCCGUGUGAUCUUUCUUGUGCCUGUCUGGGUCCUCGCCCACUCCUUCCAGUGCUCAGGGCAGAGGCUGGCAGGCACAGGGGUUUCUACGGCUGCACCUGUUGAUGUUUUCCCCUCGCUUCACCUAUAGACUGGGGGACUUUGGGCAAGUUAUGUUACCUCUAAUGUCACGGUCACUGUCCCUAAGGGGCUGGGACUAAUGUGGAGGAAAGGGCUGUGGGAACGCCCAGUGUCCCCCAGGUACCUAAGGUCAGAGCAGGCACAGGCCAGCCACACGGUAUGGGGAAUGGAUUGUCUUCUCCAAUGGCCCAGCACAACCAUGAAGGUGCCCCUGGAUUUGGCUGGAUUGAUUAGUUGAUGGAUUGAUUGGUUAGGGAAGGUGGCAGUAUAGCCAUGGCAUGCACACUUGGGUUCCACUCUCCCCAUAUUGGAGGAAAAUACAAAGGUGGAGGCUGACCAGGAGACGGGAAAUGGACAGGAAUCUGGAGGGAGGAAGGAGUCCAGGUGGUCAUUGGAGAGGGAAGUUGGGAGGCGGGCAGUGUAUUGCACACAAAGUCCUAGGGACAGUGACUGCCUCUUGGAGGGACGGGGUGGCUCAGGUGCUGCUUCCUGGUCCCAGGCAUGGGAUCUGAGGACUAGGAAGGGCCUGGAGUCCCUGGACCUGCUCCUCAUCACAUUGGAGAAAGGUGGGAAGAGGGCCCCAGGGGGAUUGUAGUGUGAGGGCACAGUUGCCAUCUGGGGUCAGGGAUGUAAUCCCAGAAGCAGCAGCCUGAGUUCUCACCUCCCCUGACCUCAUCCUCUCUUUCCCACGGCCACCCCAUCACUGUCGCUGCCCUUGUGCACGCAGAAGUCUGUUUUACAGAUCCGGAGGGUUAGGAUUCAGACACUAGCCAUCUGCAUAUAAUUUACUUCCUACUUCUGGCUCUUUUCUAUUUAUUUCUGGCGCUUAAGUCUCCUGUGUGACUCUUCCCUGCUCCCUCUUUGGAUGAUUCCCAUCCUGAAGGACCCAGUCCCAUCCAGGCCCAGGAGGGCCUAGCAUCUCCAGUGUCUAUAUAAUCUCCCCAGCAUCCCGUCACCAGCUUUCCCAGCAGCACCCUGUUCCCAGGGCUGAGCAGCCCUGUGUGGUGGCUUGGGCACCAGGCUGGAAUGAGGAGGGCUGGGAUCGCUCUGCCGGAGGGCCCCCCGGGAGCCUGUGUCUGCCCUGGCCGAGCCCGUCUUGGUGCUCUCCUGCCCCAGAGAUGGGGAUGGGGGCCUCUGCAAUCACAUGACUGUCUUCUGCCUUACAGCUACCAAGAUCACACAAUUUUAAAACAAGAAUGAUUCCAUCAGGAAUCUGAUUCCAGAAAUCCUCCUGUCGUGGAUGAAAGAGAAUGUGUCAGGAAAGAAGGGGCAUGGAGUGGAACAGGAGGAGGAAAUGGAGUGCAGAGAGGCAGGAGGAAGUGCAGAAGGCAAACAAGUGCCCUUCAGGGAACCGGAAUGCCCAGGAGCUCGCUGGGGCAGCCCACAAUGCACGUGACCUUGCAGGAGGACAUGAAGGUUAUGGCCACGUUCCACAAGUGAAGGGUGUACUGACAACAUAGCCCAGGGCGCAGAUAGCCAUGCCCUGCCCAGCCCUAACUUUGUUGGGCCACUGACUCCUGCCUCCACUGACUCCUGCAUUUGGACGACAGGGCUGGAGGCCCCUGCGGGGCCACAUGGAGCAGGUCACAUUGUGUUCUUUGGGAAACGUGUCCCUGGAGGGUUCAACAUCUCAGUCCUGCAGGACCCUAUGCUGCCCAACCCUCUCAAGGGAAACAGCGAGCACAUCAGCCACUCAACAAGGUGAGAUAGUGCAGGGUAGGCUGGGUUUUUCCCAGUUCAGGCUCCCAGGCAAAGAGGGAGGAGGACAGAGGCCGGGGGUCUCCCUGUGAAUCAAGUAAGGUGGUUCCCAGGGCUCAGCUCCGCAUCCUCAUGGGCAUAGAGCAGCCUGUCUUUAGAUAGGGGCCACAGCAGCCUCCAGUCCGGGCUGGGAGUUUCCCAAGGCCAGUCAUCCCCUCAAACCCUUCAGAGUCCUCUGGACGCCCUGGGUCACCUUGUGGCACCAUUUCUCAGACUGGGAUUCUACAGAUUUGUCAUAUAUGCAGAAAAACCAAAGAGAGCAGACAAUUUUGAAGCAAAUUCAAUGCAGUGCUAGCUUGGAAUAUGUUAAGGAGUAAGGUUUUCCAGUUACUUACAUGUCUCUUUCCAAUUUUGUAAAUAAAUAUAAGAAAUAGAACUUGUAUUAUA